UACGAAGGGGGCUAGCGUUGCUCGGAAUCACUGGGCGUAAAGCGCACGUAGGCGGCUUCUUAAGUCCGGGGUGAAAUCCUGGAGCUCAACUCCAGAACUGCCUUUGAUACUGAGGAGCUUGAGUCCGGGAGAGGUGAGUGGAACUGCGAGUGUAGAGGUGAAAUUCGUAGAUAUUCGCAAGAACACCAGUGGCGAAGGCGGCUCACUGGCCCGGUACUGACGCUGAGGUGCGAAAGCGUGGGGAGCAAACAGG
rnacentral:rRNA from 1 species